rnacentral:rRNA from 1 species
GAUAAACGCUGGCGGCGCACAUAAGACAUGCAAGUCGAACGGAAGUCGUUAUACAAGGAGAGAAGAUUUAUCGGAUUGAAUUAUAUAACAAUGGCUUUAGUGGCGGACUGGUGAGUAACGCGUAAGAAAUCUACCUAUUAGAGGGGAACAACAAUGAGAAAUCAUUGCUAAUACCGCAUAUGCCAUAAACAUCGCAUGAUGAAAGUGGGAAAGGAGCAAUCCGCUGAUAGAUGAUCUUGCGUCUGAUUAGUUAGUUGGUGGGGUAAUGGCCUACCAAGACGACGAUCAGUAGCCGGACUGAGAGGUUGAACGGCCACAUUGGGACUGAGAUACGGCCCAGACUCCUACGGGAGGCAGCAGUCGGGAAUAUUGCGCAAUGGAGGAAACUCUGACGCAGUGACGCCGCGUGCAGGAAGAAGGUUUUCGGAUUGUAAACUGCUUUAGACAGGGAAGAGAAAGGACAGUACCUGUAGAAUA